GUAUAUAUCCUCUAAGCACGCAUGUUGGUUGGAGUCAAAUGCAAAUUCAUAGAAUCUGAAUUUAAGAUUACCAUAUGUAUUUGAGAGCACAGCUGAUGAAAAUUUUACCGAUUGCAAAUGAUAAAUGUUACGAGCAUGGAAAAAGCAUAACCAAUUUUAAAUCAGCUUGUCAGGUAUGCAUUGAUUCCAGAUUCAAACCAUCACUUCCGUUUAGUAUGUUGUUUAUCAUUUUGUGAUCAGAACACUGUCGGGCGGUGUUACUAUUGUGAAUGUUAUGCGAGAAAGCAAAGAAAAUUCUAAUGGGAGAAAGCAAAGUUAAGGUGAA